UAUCUAAUUUAACUUUUUUGUAUUCAUGUCUAUGAUAAUAAAAUCCUUUUGUUUAAACUUUAUCUAAUUUAACUUUAUUUAACCAAUUUCUAGAAAGUUGCAUGUAGAUCAUUUUUCGAAAAAUAAGGCCAUAAACAAGUUUCACUUCUUACGUGUGUACACUAGUACACGCACACAUUUUUUGUUGUUGUAUUAUCAUCAUUAAUCAUACUUAGGGUUAUCAGAUAGAGGUGUUAAAAAUAAAUAGUGGAAAUGUGAACCCGUUUUCUGUAUACGUCAACAAAACGAUAAUAAUAAUAACGGUGUUGAUGCAAAUAGAUCUAUCGCCCACGCCAAUAUUUAAUUGUAUCGGUCAGUACAUUCAUAUACAUACAUACCUAAUUUGUUUUUAAACUCAUUCUUGUGAAUUGAGUGAACUCAGUUUGGGUGAAUUUUAUAUCGUUGACGAUACUAUCCUGGGAACGCCGAUUGUCUGGCAAUGACCAGUGUACUUAAUAACUUCGAAAAUUGAAAUCAGAACAUCGCGUUUAAAAUCGGCGUGCAAGUGACAGCCAUGCUACGGAAAUGGAACUACUCCGGAGUUAGUGACAAUGAUGGCAGAAGUCGAUGUAAAGAUGGGUUGUAACGUAAAGAAAGAGAGCUGUGUUUUUGUAGCACAGAUCAUUAAAGCAUUAUAUUUUAUAUUACAUACAUAAUUCGACGCUUGAAAGGCAAAAGUGACUAAGCGACUAUAACUGCUUUGUACAUAAAUAAUAGGCAAUAACCAUAUUCGAUACGCAAAAAAUAUAUAUUUCUAGGUCUAUUAAAAUAAUUUCAAUCCUUCUGCUGCUACUAGCUAGAUUCUACUACAGCUAGAUUCGUUAAAAUAAAUUUUGUUUUCAGGUAUUUCAACUUUAAAUUAGUCUACUGUAAAGUUCACGCAUUGUCGCUUAGUCACGUUUGCCUUUCAAGCGUCGAUAUGCAUACAUUACAAUAAUUACAUAUUAUUAUUACUUUUGCUCGCGACUUUGUCCGCGUGGAAUAGUAACUUUGGAAUAACGGUAAAUUUUAUCCGCGACUUCAUUUACAUAGAAAGUGAAAAUAUUUUUGAAUAAUAAAAUGUUAAGGAGCUAUUUAAGAUACCAAAAUCACGCUUUUUAACCGAUUUCAAAAGAGGAGGCUAUCAAUUCGACCACCAUUUUUUUAUCUAUGUAUGUUUUAACGGAAAUAUAUGUAAUCCGUCAUUGUAUACAAUUCCUAGGAAAUGUAUGUAAUUCCUAAAAUCGCACGGAAAUGUGUGAAAUAAAUUAUAUAAUACUUACACAUUACACAUUUGCUAGGAAAUCUAUACAUUUCCUAAAUAGCAAUCGGAAAUGUAAAACAUUUAAGAUAUUGGUGGGUACGCGGGGACAGCGGGACGAGUCUUCCACUACGGUCAGUUGCCAACUUGCAAUCCACUGGACCGGCCAGGGAUUUAAGAAGUGCCUUUGCAAGAAAAACUGUGCUACAUCAAGAUGUCUGUGUUUUAAAAAUAAAGUAUUAUGUACUUCCAAAUGCCAUUCGAGCUUACCCUGCAAAAAUAAAUAAAAGCUAUAUGGACUGACAAAGUAUUAUAAUAUAAAGAUUUACUUUUAUACUUUGACAUUUAUAAUUACUUAAUUAUCAGACUGAUUACUUGCCAAAUGAAAAUUUGAUUUUAUAAGAAUAAAUAUAAGUUGAUUUUGUGAUACGUUAAAAGUUAAUAAAUAGUUGAUUUUAGAAGUUUUAAUUAGUAAGAUAAUAUGAAUAUAUUAUUAUUAUUUUACGGUAUGACUGUUACCCGAUUGUCUCAAUAAGUGUUAUAAUAAAAAAAUAUUCUUAA